rnacentral:rRNA from 1 species
UACAGAGGGUGCAAGCGUUAAUCGGAAUGACUGGGCGUAAAGGGCGUGUAGGUGGUCUGGUACGUCUGAUGUGAAAGCCCCGGGCUUAACCUGGGAAUGGCGUCAGAUACGGCGAGACUCGAGUCGGACAGAGGGCAGUGGAAUUUCCAGUGUAGCAGUGAAAUGCGUAGAGAUUGGAAAGAACACCAGUGGCGAAGGCGGCUGCCUGGGUCCAGACUGACACUGAGGCGCGAAAGCGUGGGGAGCAAACAGG